rnacentral:rRNA from 1 species
GUAGUCCAUGCCGUAAACGUUGGGCACUAGGUGUGGGGGACAUUCCACGUUUUCCGCGCCGUAGCUAACGCAUUAUGUGCCCCGCCUGGGGAGUACGGCCGCAAGGCUAAAACUCAAAGGAAUUGACGGGGGCCCGCACAAGCGGCGGAGCAUGCGGAUUAAUUCGAUGCAACGCGAAGAACCUUACCAAGGCUUGACAUGAACCGGAAACACCUGGAAACAGGUGCCCCGCUUGCGGUCGGUUUACAGGUGGUGCAUGGUUGUCGUCAGCUCGUGUCGUGAGAUGUUGGGUUAAGUCCCGCAACGAGCGCAACCCUCGUUCUAUGUUGCCAGCGCGUUAUGGCGGGGACUCAUAGGAGACUGCCGGGGUCAACUCGGAGGAAGGUGGGGACGACGUCAAAUCAUCAUGCCCCUUAUGUCUUGGGCUUCACGCAUGCUACAAUGGCCGGUACAAAGGGUUGCGAUACUGUGAGGUGGAGCUAAUCCCAAAAAGCCGGUCUCAGUUCGGAUUGGGGUCUGCAACUCGACCCCAUGAAGUCGGAGUCGCUAGUAAUCGCAGAUCAGCAACGCUGCGGUGAAUA